GAUGAACGCUGGCGGCGUGCCUAAUACAUGCAAGUCGAGCGAACAGACGAGGAGCUUGCUCCUCUGACGUUAGCGGCGGACGGGUGAGUAACACGUGGAUAACCUACCUAUAAGACUGGGAUAACUUCGGGAAACCGGAGCUAAUACCGGAUAAUAUAUUGAACCGCAUGGUUCAAUAGUGAAAGACGGUUUUGCUGUCACUUAUAGAUGGAUCCGCGCCGCAUUAGCUAGUUGGUAAGGUAACGGCUUACCAAGGCAACGAUGCGUCGCCGACCUGAGAGGGUGGUCGGCCACACUGGAACGUGGACACGGUCCAGACUCCUACGGGAGGCAGCAGUAGGGAAUCUUCCGCAAUGGGCGAAAGCUUGACGGAGCAACGCCGCGUGAGUGAUGAAGGUCUUCGGAUCGUAAAACUCUGUUAUUAGGGAAGAACAAAUGUGUAAGUAACUAUGCACGUCUUGACGGUACCUAAUCAGAAAGCCACGGCUAACUACGUG
rnacentral:rRNA from 1 species